UACGUAGGUGGCGAGCGUUGUCCGGAAUCACUGGGCGUAAAGCGCGCGCAGGCGGCGAUCUACGUCUGGGGUGAAAGCCCGGAGCUCAACUCCGGGACUGCCUUGGAUACGGGAUCGCUUGAGGAUCGGAGAGGCAAGGGGAAUUCCACGUGUAGCGGUGAAAUGCGUAGAGAUGUGGAGGAACACCUGUGGCGAAGGCGCCUUGCUGGCCGAUUUCUGACGCUGAGGCGCGAAAGCGUGGGGAGCAAACAGG
rnacentral:ncRNA from 2 species